rnacentral:rRNA from 1 species
AGUGAACGCUGGCGGUAGGCCUAACACAUGCAAGUCGAACGGCAGCACAGUAAGAGCUUGCUCUUACGGGUGGCGAGUGGCGGACGGGUGAGUAAUACAUCGGAAUCUACUUUUUCGUGGGGGAUAACGUAGGGAAACUUACGCUAAUACCGCAUACGACCUACUGGUGAAAGCAGGGGAUCUUCGGACCUUUCGCGAUUGAAUGAGCCGAUGUCGGAUUAGCUAGUUGGCGGGGUACAGGCGCACCAAGGCGACGAUCCGUAGCUGGUCUGAGAGGCUGAUCACCAAAACUGGACCUAGGACACGGUCAAGACUCCUACGGGAGGCAGCCGUGGGGAAUAUUGGCCAAUGGGCGCAAGCCUGAUCAAGCCAUACCGCGUGGGUGCAGAAGGCAUUAGGGUUGUAAAGCCCUUUUGUUGGGAAAGAAAAGCAGCAGGUUAAUACCCCGCUGUUAAGACGGUACCCAAAGAAUAAGCCCCGGCUAACUUCGUG